rnacentral:rRNA from 1 species
UACGUAGGGUGCGAGCGUUGUCCGGAAUUAUUGGGCGUAAAGGGCUCGUAGGCGGUUUGUCGCGUCGGGAGUGAAAUCCACUGGCUUAACUGGUGGCUUGCGGUGGAUACGGGCAGACUUGAGUUCGGUAGGGGAGACUGGAAUUCCUGGUGUAGCGGUGAAAUGCGCAGAUAUCAGGAGGAACACCGGUGGCGAAGGCGGGGUCUCUGGGGCCGAUACUGA